UACAGAGACCUCAAGCGUUAUCCGGAAUCAUUGGGCGUAAAGCGUACCGAUCGGUGGUUAUACAAGUCAGAAGUGAAAUCUCCGAGCUCAACUCGGAAUCUGUCUUUUGAAACUGUAUGACUAGAGGGGCAAAGAGGAAGCUGGAACGAACGGUGUAGUAGUAAAAUGCGUUGAUAUCGUUCGGAACACCAAUAGCGUAGGCAGGCUUCUGGGUGCCACCUGACACUGCUAGGACGAAAGCGUGGGGAGCGAAUGGG
rnacentral:rRNA from 1 species